rnacentral:rRNA from 1 species
UCAAUAAGCGGAGGAAAAGAAACUAACAAGGAUUCCCCUAGUAACUGCGAGUGAAGCGGGAAAAGCUCAAAUUUAAAAUCUGGCGGUCUUUGGCCGUCCGAGUUGUAAUUUAGAGAAGCGUCUUCCGCGCCGGACCGUGCACAAGUCUCCUGGAAUGGAGCGUCAUAGAGGGUGAGAAUCCCGUCUUUGGCACGGAUGCCUGUGCUUCUGUGAUGCGCUCUCGAAGAGUCGAGUUGUUUGGGAAUGCAGCUCAAAAUGGGUGGUGAACUCCAUCUAAAGCUAAAUAUUGGCGAGAGACCGAUAGCGAACAAGUACCGUGAGGGAAAGAUGAAAAGCACUUUGGAAAGAGAGUGAAACAGUACGUGAAAUUGUUGAAAGGGAAACGCUUGAAGUCAGUCGCGUCGACCGAGACUCAGCCUUGCCUCGGCUUGGUGUACUUCUCGGCCCGACGGGUCAGCAUCAAUUUUGCCCCUCGGAUAAUGGCAAGGGAAAGGUGGCACCUUUGCGGGUGUGUUAUAGUCUCCUGUCGCAUGCGAGGGGUGGGAUUGAGGAACUCAGCGCGCACCUUGGUGUCGGGGCUUCGGCCCACGUCACGCGCUUAGGAUGCUGGCGUAAUGGCUUUAAACGACCCGUCUUGAAACAC